CCUACGGGUGGCAGCAGUGAGGAAUAUUGGUCAAUGGGCGCGAGCCUGAACCAGCCAUGUAGCGUGAAGGAUGACUGCCCUACGGGUUGUAAACUUCUUUUAUAAAGGAAUAAAGUGAGGCACGAGUGCCUUUUUGUAUGUACUUUAUGAAUAAGGAUCGGCUCACUCCGUGCCAGCAGCCGCGGUAAUACGGAGGAUCCGAGCGUUAUCCGGAUUUAUUGGGUGUAACGGGAGCGUAGAUGGGUUGUUAAGUCAGUUGUGAAAGCUUGCGGCUCAACCGGAAAAUUGCAAUUGAUACUGGCAGUCUUGAGUAUAGUAGAGGUAGGCGGAAUUCGUGGUGUAGCGGUGAAAUGCGUAGAGAUCACGAAGAACACCGAUUGCGAAGGCAGCUUACUAAACGGCCACUGACAUUGAGGCUCGAAAGUGUGGGUAUCAAACAGGAUUAGAUACCCUAGUAGUC
rnacentral:rRNA from 1 species